AGUGACCUCAGCUAGCCCUCUCCACGACCUUGAUGCUAAUGAAACGAGUGCAGCAGCAUUAAGGCCAUCGCAGAGAAGUCAAAGAUGAGAACAACCAGUCCGAGAAAUCAAAUGCCCACUUAUGUUGCAUGAACUGUUGUCACUGUAACAAUGAAGGGUUUGGUGAAUAUAGUGGAAAUGAUGGAAAAAAAAGUGCUGUAGUUGUAAAUGCUUUGAUUUUAUAUGAACAGACUUUGGAUUAUUUUUUUGUCAAUGAGCUAUUUAUGUACUUUUAUGUUACCUUUAAAGGAGAUGAGAUGGAAAUGUGUGAGAGUGUGUUAACAUGAAAAAUAGUUUUACAAAACAUGCCUGUCAGAUUUUAUUUUUAAUAUAUAGGAUUUUAUUAUAUACACAGUUCGGGGUGCACGUCAUGGGACUGUCUGUCAGUGUAAUAGCCUACAGCGUUUACAGCUAACGUUACCGACAGUGUUGGCAGGAUGAACUGUUAAAAGGUUUAAUGAAAUUCUGUAAUGUGACACAACAGGUAAUGAGGAGGAGUCAUAUACCGGAGUACCACGGACAGCUCCCACAUCAUGACAGUCACAGGAUCAGCACCUUGUAACACAAAAGAUUGUGGCAGAACACGGCCCACUAUUUACUCUGUUGGUUCAGGAUUUGGAUUGCCGCCUGUUGGCUUGCAUCGGUGCCCUCCUGUUUGUUUUCUACACACGAGAAGAUGAGUCAACUGAUUGGCAGUCAGACGGCAUGCUAGAUGGAAGCGCUAAACCUUGGCCUGGGCUAGCUGCUCAUUUAUUCACAGAAAGAGCAAAGAAGAGAAUAUUCCAAUGAGAACAGGUCAACAGAAAAGUCACAGAGAUUGUCCUUGUGCCCGGCCUUCUCUCGAGGAAACGCUUCAGUGAAUCUCAAAGAAUUCAUCCAUGCGAGACCCAACACAUAAACAGUCACCUUGUCAUUCACCUUGUCAAUCAGUCAGUAUGUCGGCAAGUCCACAAUCCAGCCAACCAAUGACUGAUUCCCAUCAUCUAGUCGUCAAACUCAGCAAGUGUUUCAUCCACAUACUGAUCCUCGGUGGUGUUAAAAGUCAAGACCUCCUUCUUCUACCUCAACUUCCCAUCAAAGACCUCUACAUGGAUUGGUCCAAAUAUGUUCUUAUUUCUCUCUAUUGUUACGGCAACACUGUCUCCUGAUAGGUUGUAUUGCAUGGCUGUUUUGCAAGAGAGGGGGCGGGCCUUCCUGCCUGAUUGGCUACAGCAGUGACUUUUAGAUUCUUCGUUGGUGUUUGGACGAGAGCCACUUGAUGGAAUCUUAUGUUUUAAUACUGAACUGUCAUCCGAGGGAGGGGACACAUUGGAACCGAGCAGAUUGAGCUGGUCCACAGAGCGAAGUAUAGCGGUAGAGAUUUACUUUGAUUUUAAGGUUUUGAGGAACUUUAAUCAUUAUUGUUGGCGGUCAUUCCCUCCUCUGGUUAGACAAUAAAGAUUAUUCUAUUCUAUUGCUGUACAGCAAAGACACUGCUUUUAGUUACCGUAGCACUUGUUAUGAAAUAUAUGGAGAAAACUGAACAGAUAAACUGAAAAUGACUAUUUCAAAUAAUUGAAUUUGAGUAGAAGUGAUUUAGCCUGAGGUGAAUGGUGAAGGGGAAAUUAAAGCGAUAUUCUCUUGUAAAAUUACGUCUGUCAAACUGAAUGAUUCAAAGCUGUAACCUUUGGGGACAACAUUUAUUCUUGACUGCAGCAUAUUGACAGAAAUGUCAAUGUUUCCAUGCAUAAUUCUGAUAAACUUUGUGUUUAAGCAUCAAUAUUAACAUGUUAUGACCUAAUCCAACCCAUCAUCAGGAUACCAGCAGACAUGUUCAUACGAUUUGAUAAAAUAAAGUAAGCAUGGUAUUUAAAUGUUUUAAGUCACGUCCUUUAACCGCUUAUUGAUGCAGAAUCAAAUAAAGGAAAAU